rnacentral:rRNA from 1 species
UACGGAGGGUGCGAGCGUUAAUCGGAAUUACUGGGCGUAAAGCGCGCGUAGGCGGUUUGUUAAGUCAGCUGUGAAAGCCCCGGGCUUAACCUGGGAAUGGCAGUUGAUACUGGCAAGCUAGAGUGUGGUAGAGGGGUGUGGAAUUUCCGGUGUAGCAGUGAAAUGCGUAGAGAUCGGAAGGAACACCAGUGGCGAAGGCGGCGCCCUGGACCAACACUGACGCUGAGGUGCGAAAGCGUGGGGAGCAAACAGGAGGAGAUAACACAGGAGACC